GUGAACCUAAUUUUAACGGCCGCGGUAUCCUAACCGUGCAAAGGUAGCGUAAUCACUUGUUCUUUAAUUGAGGACUAGUAUGAACGGCCACAUGAGGGCCUAACUGUCUCCUAUGGUAAAUUAAUGAACUUGAUCUUCCAGUACAAAAGCUAGAAUAUCAACAUAAGACGAGAAGACCCUGUGGAGCUUCAAACAAACCUAAGCCGCACCAUUACCCUAAACCAGGAUCACCUAUAAGCUCAAUUAGAUAAGUUUUAAGUUGGGGCGACUACGGGGUAAAACAAAACCCCCAUGACAUAAAGCACCUGUAAUAGGCACACACACCUACAACAGCACACAAUGAUCCAGUAUUACUGACCAACGAACCAAGUUACCCCAGGGAUAACAGCGCUAUCCCCUUUAAGAGUCCUUAUCACCAAGGGGGUUUACGACCUCGAUGUUGGAUCAGGACACCCAGGUGGUGCAGCCGCUACCAAGG
rnacentral:rRNA from 1 species